CCGCUUCCGGGAGGCGCCUACGGCGACCCCGCUACAGAAGGUUUGUGCGGCUCGGGGGAGCGCGGCUUCGUGGACGAAGUGGGCGGCGACUCCGCGGAACGGCAGCGCGCUGCAGCAGCCCGGCACCCUGGCCAGGAGAUGGUGGCUGUGUGAGUGCCUGCCAUGGGCGCAGGGAGCGGCAUGUUGGACCAUGGAGCAAGGCCAGGCCCUGUUCCCCACGGCCAGGAACAAAGACGAGGAGCUGCCCUUAGAAGACUAUGUGCCCGAGGGCCUGGAACUGGCUGCCCUAUGACCAGAGAGCCCCAUGCCCAAGGAGUAGAAGUGCCAUAACCACAGCCCCGAUGGGGACUCCAACUACGUGAACAACACUUCUGAGGAGGAGGACUACGACAAGGGCCUCCCUGAGGAGGAGGAGGGCAUCACCUACAACAUCUGCUACUGCCCCGAGGACAACAGCUACCUGGAGGGCAUGGACUGCUACGGGGAUGAGUAUCUGGUCCAUGGCAUGCACCCCGUGGACACCGACAAGUGCCAGGAGCAUCCACACAACAUGCCUCGUAACUGGACCAGUGAAGAGCAAAAAUCAGGUGUUUGGCACUGAAGAGCACAAUGACUACUAGUGCAGUUUGGCAUCAUUCCGUGAUUCAUGCUAAGGUGUCAGCAGAAAACUGCUGGUCAGUAAAAAAUACCAUUGCUUGCGCAUUGUCAGUGCCAUUGUCAAUACGAUGAGAAGGCAAAGUGACAUAUUACUGUGAAAAUAGUUUUUCUCUCUCAGAUGCCUUGAAAGGGUUUCAGGACUCUUGAAGUCCACAGACCACACUUUUGAACAUGGCUGCUCUACAUGAAUCUCCAUUGCUCCUCUUCUCCAGCACUACUGCCUACCCCCCAAAAAACUUUCCAAACCAACCAACAUACUGUGUUCCUCAGAUUAACAUCUAAUAUGGCACCAGCAGCAGAUAUUCUACUUCCACCUCCUGUAAUCAGUCAUUUUUCUAAAGCAUAGAUUUCUCAUCCCCUUGCUGCAAAAUCUCCAAACAGGUCCAAGUAUACAUAACAAUUUAGGAGAAGAUGAAGAUUGUAUUUUAGAUCAAUAGGGAAAGUAUAGAUGAUUAAAUAAAUAGUGUGAGGACAAUUGCGUUAACAUUGGGAAAAAAUUGAAUUACCUUCCAGUAUAUAUCAAAAUAAGUCUAAAUGAUUAUUGAUAAAAUUUAAACCAUAGAUAAGUUAGGAAUAAAGUUAAUAUGUAUCUUGAGUACAGGGUGGGAAGUCUACUUAAACGCGUAAAUCCAUGCAUUCUAGUCAAUUGAUCUUUGUCAAAGGUACCAAGAACAGAAAACGAAGCAAGAAUAAUUUCUUCAAUAAAUGAUGGGAACACUGAGUAUCCACAAGCAGAAUAAUGAAAUUAGGCGCUUAUCUCAUACGAUACACAAAAAUAAACUGAAAAUGUAUUAAAGACUUCAAUAUUUGGCCGGGCGCGGUGGCUCACGCCUGUAAUCCCAGCACUUUG